UGGCAGUGCCGAUUCUAGUGGC
rnacentral:miRNA from 1 species